CCUACGGGCGGCAGCAGUGGGGAAUAUUGCGCAAUGGGGGAAACCCUGACGCAGCAACGCCGCGUGAGUGAAGACGUAUCUCGGUAUGUAAAGCUCUAUCAGCGGGGAGGAAGGAAGACGGUACCCGACUAAGAAGCACCGGCUAACUACGUGCCAGCAGCCGCGGUAAUACGUAGGGGGCGAGCGUUAUCCGGAUUUACUGUGGGUAAAGGGAGCGUAGACGGCGUCGCAAGUCUGAAGUGAAAGCCCAGGGCUCAACCGCGGAACCGCUUUGGAAACUGCGAGGCUGGAGUGCUGGAGAGGUAAGCGGAAUUCCUGGUGUAGCGGUGAAAGGCGUAGAGAUCAGGAGGAACACCGGUGGCGAAGGCGGCUUACUGGACAGUGACUGACGUUGAGGCGCGAAAGCGUGGGGAGCGAACAGGAUUAGAUACCCCAGUAGUC
rnacentral:rRNA from 1 species